rnacentral:lncRNA from 1 species
UGUCCACAGCACACACGACAAUGAGCUGCUGAGGACCAAGACCCUGAUAUCAUGCUCACUGACAGCACAUUGUACUGACAGUGGUCUGAGUCCCACUAUGCACUAUGUCUGGGCUUCAAGAAGGGGUCUACAUUGACUCUACAGGAGAGAGAGAUCAAAUGAUCAAAGGAAAUGCAGAUGAAAUCUGAUGAAGGGGUACAGGAUCCCCAAACUAGCGGUCUUCUAGAGAGACAUUCUAGCUGAGCGAGCUUCUGGCCGGCACUACAUCAACACCAGGCCCCUGUGGUGGAGCAGAUGGUUAUGUGCUAGAGAGCAAGGAGCAAGCAUUCUGUCUGAGGAAGAUCAAAGCCCUGAGGGGCAAA